rnacentral:rRNA from 1 species
GACGAACGCUGGCGGCGUGCCUAAUACAUGCAAGUCGAACGCAGUGGGGACGGGUGAGUAACACGUGGGUAACCUCCCAUCAGAGGGGAUAACACUUGGAAACAGGUGCUAAACCGAUACUGAUUGAUGGACCCGGGUGGCAUUAGCUAGUUGGUGGGGUAACGGCUCACGAAGGCCACGAUGCAUAGCCGGCCGGAGAGGUUGAUCGGCCACACUGUGACUGAUACACGGCCCAGAUCCCUGCGGGAGGCGUCAGUAGGGAAUCUUCGGCAAUGGACGAAAGUCUGACCGAGCAACGCCGCGUGAGUGAAAAAGGUAUUCGGAUCGUAAAACUCUGUUGUUAGGGAAGCGGUAUCUAACCAGAAAGCCACGGCUAACUACGUGCCAGCAGCCGCGGUAAUUC